rnacentral:lncRNA from 1 species
UUUUCAUGCAAAACUGAUAAAAUUUUAAAUUAAUUAAUCUAAAAUUUAAAUAUUUAGUUGCAAACAAUUUUAAUUAUAUAUGAGCACUACAACAGAAUUAGGUUAUAGGGACACAAGUUUGGGACACUUUUGAAUAAGUGUCCCAUUUAUACUAAAAUUUAAAAAAACAUCUACUAAUGCCUAAAUAUAAAGCCCAAUCCAACCAAAAAUAAAAGAUUAUUCUACUCAACUCACCACACCCAGUCCAUUUGGCCCGAUUACAAACAGAAAAGAAAAAAAAAAAAAGAAAAAUCAAUUACCAUCUUUUCUUCUCUCUUCACUCAAUCCACUGAAAUUCUAAAUGAAGAGCCUUCCCUGUCGUCCUCUCCACUACCUCAGCCGACGAGAUAAAAUUUCGACGGUUGCUAAAUGCUUAAAUAAGUUUUGAUAAAUUAACAGCACUCUUUUAGGUUAUAGCGACACUCUUUAACUGUCACUAUAUACCUAGCGACCCCACAUAUAGCAACACUUUUUAAAAGUGUCGGUAAUUUUAGCUAGCAGCACUUUUUUGACAUGUACCUACAUUUAAAAGUGUCGCUAUAGAUCGUUUUUGUUGUAGUGGAGCUAGCUUGGUAAACCNUUGACAUGUACCUACAUUUAAAAGUGUCGCUAUAGAUCGUUUUUGUUGUAGUGGAGCUAGCUUGGUAAACCAACC